rnacentral:rRNA from 1 species
UACGAAGGGUGCAAGCGUUGUUCGGAAUUACUGGGCGUAAAGGGCGCGUAGGCGGCUUUUUAAGUCAGACGUUAAAUCCCCCGGCUUAACCUGGGAACUGCGUCUGAUACUGGGAAGCUUGAGUUCGGGAGAGGGAUGUAGAAUUCCAGGUGUAGCGGUGAAAUGCGUAGAUAUCUGGAGGAAUACCGGUGGCGAAGGCGGCAUCCUGGACCGAAACUGACGCUGAGGCGCGAAAGCUAGGGGAGCAAACGGG